rnacentral:rRNA from 1 species
UACGAAGGGGGCUAGCGUUGUUCGGAAUUACUGGGCGUAAAGCGCACGUAGGCGGAUAUUUAAGUCAGGGGUGAAAUCCCAGAGCUCAACUCUGGAACUGCCUUUGAUACUGGGUAUCUCGAGUAUGGAAGAGGUGAGUGGAAUUCCGAGUGUAGAGGUGAAAUUCGUAGAUAUUCGGAGGAACACCAGUGGCGAAGGCGGCUCACUGGUCCAUUUACUGACGCUGAGGUGCGAAAGCGUGGGGGAGCAAAACAGG